ensembl:snoRNA
GUUUUCUUUUCGGUAUUAGCUGAAUGCAAAGCUGAUGCAAGUUCUAAAAUUAAACUGAGAACUU